GACGAACCGUGCAAACGUUGUUCGGAAUCACUGGGCUUAAAGGGCGCGUAGGCGGGAGACCAAGUCCGGGGUGAAAUCUUUCGGCUUAACCGGAAAAGGGCCUUGGAUACUGGUCUUCUAGAGGGAGGUAGGGGCAUGUGGAACUUCUGGUGGAGCGGUGAAAUGCGUUGAUAUCAGAAGGAACGCCGGUGGCGAAAGCGACGUGCUGGAUCUCUACUGACGCUGAUGCGCGAAAGCCAGGGGAGCAAAC
rnacentral:rRNA from 1 species